GCUUGCUACUGGACCUAGCGGCGGACGGGUGAGUAAUGCUUAGGAAUCUGCCUAUUAGUGGGGGACAACAGUUGGAAACGGCUGCUAAUACCGCAUACGCCCUACGGGGGAAAGCAGGGGAUCUUCGGACCUUGCGCUAAUAGAUGAGCCUAAGUCGGAUUAGCUAGUUGGUGGGGUAAAGGCCUACCAAGGCGACGAUCUGUAGCGGGUCUGAGAGGAUGAUCCGCCACACUGGGACUGAGACACGGCCCAGACUCCUACGGGAGGCAGCAGUGGGGAAUAUUGGACAAUGGGGGCAACCCUGAUCCAGCCAUGCCGCGUGUGUGAAGAAGGCCUUUUGGUUGUAAAGCACUUUAAGCGAGGAGGAGGCUACUUAGAUUAAUACUCUAGGAUAGUGGACGUUACUCGCAGAAUAAGCACCGGCUAACUCUGUGCCAGCAGCCGCGGUAAUACAGAGGGUGCGAGCGUUAAUCGGAUUUACUGGGCGUAAAGCGUGCGUAGGCGGCUGAUUAAGUCGGAUGUGAAAUCCCUGAGCUUAACUUAGGAAUUGCAUUCGAUACUGGUCAGCUAGAGUAUGGGAGAGGAUGGUAGAAUUCCAGGUGUAGCGGUGAAAUGCGUAGAGAUCUGGAGGAAUACCGAUGGCGAAGGCAGCCAUCUGGCCUAAUACUGACGCUGAGGCACGAAAGCAUGGGGAGCAAACAGGAUUAGAUACCCUGGUAGUCCAUGCCGUAAACGAUGUCUACUAGCCGUUGGGGCCUUUGAGGCUUUAGUGGCGCAGC
rnacentral:rRNA from 1 species